GGGGGUAUAGCUCAGUUGGGAGAGCGCUUGAAUGGCAUUCAAGAGGUCAUGGGUUCAAGUCCCACUAUCUCCA
rnacentral:tRNA from 1 species